GACAGAGGAUGCAAGCGUUAUCCGGAAUGAUUGGGCGUAAAGCGUCCGCAGGUGGCUGUGUAAGUCUGCUGUCAAAGAGCGAAGCUCAACUUCGUAAAGGCAGUGGAAACUACACGGCUAGAGUGCGUUCGGGGCAGAGGGAAUUCCUGGUGUAGCGGUGAAAUGCGUAGAGAUCAGGAAGAACACCGGUGGCGAAGGCGCUCUGCUAGGCCGCAACUGACACUGAGGGACGAAAGCUAGGGGAGCGAAUGGG
rnacentral:rRNA from 1 species